rnacentral:lncRNA from 1 species
GGGUCAAUGGGUUAGAUGGAUUAGGUCCAUAAUUGGGUUAGACCUAAAGUUAGCUUAAAGAAAUAGACUAAAUUAGAGUAAUUGGUCAAAUCUAAUCAAAAGUUGAAUUAGAUUAGGUCAAGGAUACUCUAGACUCAACUUCAAUAGUUGUAGUUGAAUGGGUCCAUGUCUUUAACUAGACCAAGAUGGACUUAAUUCAUGGCUACGCGAUGGAACCCUAUUUACUAAGUUGAUUAAAUUAAAACUAAUGAACCGGUUGGUGUCUAAGGNN